GUGUUAACCUACCUCCACAGUGAGAAGGUACCAGGGGGUGUGUGUUAACCUACCUCCACAGUGAGAAGGUACCAGGGGGUGUGUGUUAACCUACCUCCACAGUGAGAAGGUACCAGGGGGUGUGUGUUAACCUACCUCCACAGUGAGAAGGUACCAGGGGGUGUGUGUUAACCUACCUCCACAGUGAGAAGGUACCAGGGGGUGUGUGUUAACCUACCUCCACAGUGAGAAGGUACCAGGGGGUGUGUGUUAACCUACCUCCACAGUGAGAAGGUACCAGGG